GACGAACGCUGGCGGCGUGCUUAACACAUGCAAGUCGAACGGAAAGGCCCUGCUUUUGUGGGGUGCUCGAGUGGCGAACGGGUGAGUAACACGUGAGUAAUCUGCCCUUGACUUUGGGAUAACUUCAGGAAACUGGGGCUAAUACCGGAUAGGAGCUCCUGCUGCAUGGUGGGGGUUGGAAAGUUUCGGCGGUUGGGGAUGGACUCGCGGCUUAUCAGCUUGUUGGUGGGGUAGUGGCUUACCAAGGCUUUGACGGGUAGCCGGCCUGAGAGGGUGACCGGGCACAUUGGGACUGAGAGACGGCCCAGAAUCCUACCGGAGGCAGAAGUGGGGAAUAUUGCACAAUGGGGGGAAGCCUGAUGCAGCAACGCCGCGUGCGGGAUGACGGCCUUCGGGUUGUAAACAGCUUUCGACUGUGACGAAGCGUGAGUGACGGUAAUGGGUAAAGAAGCACCGGCUAACUACGUG
rnacentral:rRNA from 1 species